rnacentral:rRNA from 1 species
CAUUCGAGUGGCGGACGGGUGAGUAACGCGUGGGUAACCUGCCUUACACGAGGGGGAUAACACCUGGAAACAGGUGCUAAUACCGCAUAAGCGCGACAGGGCCGCAUGGCCCGGUGUGAAAAACUCCGGUGGUGUAAGAUGGACCCGCGUCUGAUUAGCUUGUUGGCGGGGUAGGGGCCCACCAAGGCGACGAUCAGUAGCCGGCCUGAGAGGGUGGACGGCCACAUUGGGACUGAGACACGGCCCAAACUCCUACGGAAGGCAGCAG